GACAGAGGUGCCGAGCGUUAGGCGGAAUCACUGGGCUUAAAGCGUGUGUAGGCGGACCGUUAAGUACCUUGUGAAAUCCCCCGGCUCAACCGGGGAACGGCUGGGUAUACUGGCGGUCUUGAGCCAUCCAGGGGCAGUCGGAACAGACGGUGGAGCGGUGAAAUGCGUAGAUAUCGUCUGGACGCCGAAGGUGAAAACAGACUGCUGGGGAUGCGCUGACGCUGAGACACGAAAGCCAGGGGAGCGAACGGG
rnacentral:rRNA from 1 species